CUUAAGAGAAUGGUGGAAACGUGACUCAGCAGGAGAGUACGUGUACAACUGACCAUUAUGGAACACAUUUUUCACGUGCCAAAAUCUAGAUUUUAUGAAAAUACAAACGUGAGGCAGAGUGGCAUCCCUCCAUUGAGCUCACUCCCGCUUCCUCCAUGUCGAAGGUCGCCUCCGGCGACGAUGGAGCUUCAAUGACCAAAUAAAACAUAUCACCUCCUAUAGUUUAAAGUCUUGAGCUCUAAAAUCACGGUGAAAUAGCCUAAAUCUUUAAGAAUAACAUAAAUUUAAGGUAACAAUCGAAAAACCCUAGAAAAUCAAGUGGACAUUAAAUCGUGCUCUCUCGAAAUCAAAGCCCAAGGGGUUAGGGCUUUGAUUCCCCUAAUUGAACCUCACAUCUUGAUAAAUUCUACACAAUGCCCUAAUGAAGAUGAAAGAAGAACUUACUGGAGCAAUGCCGAAGUCAGGAGAAUCGUAUGCUUUGUGUUAUGUUAAAAGUUAAGCAUGGCGUAUGCUUUGGUGAUGAACUUGGUGUGUUUCAUUUAAAACAAGGGCAAGGCUAUGUAGACGAGGAAGCUUCCAAUUGGUGUUCAGUUAAAAAUGUGCAGGGUUCUGCUAGUUGAAAUUGGAGGGCGCAAGUUGAACUUGGUUUUGCUCUGUUAUGUAAUUUAUUUCAGACAAAAAAUGAAAUUUGCACUGUUAUGUUUGUAGGUUUGAUGAUUUUUUUUGCAAGACUGUGUUGAUAUGAGCUGUUAUGGAAUAUCAUUUUACCUUGUUAGAAGCAAGUGAAUGAUUUAUGGAUUGUUGCUUUGAGUUGUUGGGAUUGUCUAUUGAAUGUCAUGGAUAAUGGGAAUGUGUGAAAUUGACUAGAGACUUAGGAUUUCUCAAAUGGUUGAAUAUUGUAAUUGUAUGAAAUGGUGUGGUUGGUUUAAUGUGUAAUGAAAAGUUAAUUGAUUUUGAAUGUAUCUUGAAUUUGAACUGAAUGGAUUAAUGGUUAUUGGAUGGAAUGUGUGUAAUGAAUUUGUAGGAUGGUGUAUUGUAUAGGUUUGCAAUGGAAAGUUAUUGAAUGUUAAGAUUGUUAUGAAAAGUUAAUUGAAUGAAGGUUUGAAUGGUUUAUGGAGUUUUA